GUGUUUCGAUUGACCGGGUCCGCCCGCGAUACGACUUGGCGGCGAGGGCAUGCACUUCUCCCCUAGUAGGACGUCGCGACCCGUUGGGUGUCGGCGUACGACGUAGCCUGUCACGAAUUGUCAGACCCCGCGUGUUCCGCCCGACUGCCCGACGGUAUAGCGUUCGGCCGGUCGCAAGCGUGGACGGUUCUUUCGGCUGUCGGACCUGGUCCGGCACCGUUCCCGCUCGCGCUGUUGGCGACCGUGUCCUCGAACAGGCCCUGCCAGUCAGCGAUGCUAUUGCUUUGGGUACUUUCAGGACCCGUCUUGAAACACGGACCAAGGAGUCUAGCAUGUGCGCAAGUCAUUGGGAAUUACAAAACCUAAAGGCGCAAUGAAAGUAAAGGUUCGCUUAUGCGAACUGAGGGAUGAUGGUGUCACGCACACCCGCAAUCCCGGGGCGUCUCACUCUCAUUGCGAGAAGAGGCGCACCAAGAGCGUACACGCUGGGACCCGAAAGAUGGUGAACUAUGCCUGGUCAGGUCGAAGUCAGGGGAAACCCUGAUGGAGGACCGUAGCGAUUCUGACGUGCAAAUCGAUCGUCGGAACUGGGUAUAGGGGCGAAAGACUAAUCGAACCAUCUAGUAGCUGGUUCCCUCCGAAGUUUCUCUCAGGAUAGCUGGCAUUCGAUGAGCGAGUCUCAUCCGGUAAAGCGAAUGAUUAGAGGCCUUGGGGCCGAAACGACCUCAACCUAUUCUCAAACUUUAAAUGGGUGAGAUCUCUGGCUUGCUUAAAUAGUGAAGCCAGAGCAGAGUGCCUAGUGGGCCACUUUUGGUAAGCAGAACUGGCGCUGUGGGAUGAACCAAACGCCGAGUUAAGGCGCCUAAACGACGCUAAUGGGAUACCAUGAAAGGCGUUGGUUGCUUAAGACAGCAGGACGGUGGCCAUGGAAGUUGGAAUCCGCUAAGGAGUGUGUAACAACUCACCUGCCGAAGCAACUAGCCCUGAAAAUGGAUGGCGCUGAAGCGUCGUGCCUAUACUCGGCCGCCAGGGCAAGAUUAGCGUAUCGCUUUGAAGCCCUGGUGAGUAGGAGGGUCGCGGUGGUGUGCGCAGAAGGGUCUGGGCGUGAGCCUGCCUGGAGCCGCCAUCGGUGCAGAUCUUGGUGGUAGUAGCAAAUACUCCAGCGAGGCCCUGGAGGACUGACGUGGAGAAGGGUUUCGUGUGAACAGCCGUUGCACACGAGUCAGUCGAUCCUAAGCCCCAGGAGAAAUAAAUCUCACACCCAUCGGGCGAAAGGGAAUCCGGUUCCUAUUCCGGAACCCGGCAGCGGAACCGUUUACAAGUCGGGCCCUCGCAAGAGAGUUCGUCGGGGUAACCCAAAAUGACCUGGAGACGCCGUCGGGAGAUACGGGGAGAGUUUUCUUUUCUGUAUGAGCGUUCGAGUUCCCUGGAAUCCUCUAGCAGGGAGAUAGGGUUUGGAACGCGAAGAGCACCGCAGUUGCGGCGGUGUCCGUAUCUUCCCCUCGGACCUUGAAAAUCCAGGAGAGGGCCACGGUAGGUGUCGCGCCGGUUCGUACCCAUAUCCGCAGCAGGUCU
rnacentral:rRNA from 1 species